ensembl:lncRNA
GGCUGGAUGGCAUCACUGACUCAAUGGACAUGAGUCUGAGUGAACUCCGGGAGAUGGUGAUGAACAGGGAGGCCUGGCGUGCUGCUAUUCAUGGGGUCACAAAGAGUUGGACACGACUGAGCAACUGAACUGAACUGAACUAAUAGUGUUAAAGGCUGAAUGGGUAUUUGAUUUUAGCUCUACGGAUUCUGAAAAAUCUUCUCUGUUGGUUGAUAUAGGGAUUGUGCCAAGAGGGCAAAAUUAGAAAUCCAAAAUUAGAUAUCCAGCUAAUCCCAAGGACAGCAUCUCUGUUUUGAAUGUAGGGAGUGGUAGGGUGGAUAUUAGGGACUUUCUACCAGUACUGAUAUAUCAUUUGGUUGGUGUCAAAAGCAUUCUGAGAUAGGUGACUCUAGGAAGAGAGAGCUGAACCUUAUACUCUAUACCGUCAAACAACUAGAAAAUUGAGUUGUAUAGUAUAUUGUUGAGAGUGUGUAAGUGAAGGACUACAAAGGAGGAUAUCACCCACAUAUUGGAGGACAGUACUUGGAAUAAGGUUAAGAGAGGAUAAGUCUGAUGCUAGAGCUUGACCAAAGAAAUGAGGGCUUUCACAAAAGCUUGUGGGAGGACUGUCCAUGUCAGCUAUUGGGAGUGAUGAUUGUAUGAAUCAGUCCAGGUAAAGGGAAAGAGGUCUUGAGAGUCUGGGUGUAAAAGGAUGGUAAAGAAGGCAUACUUGCAGUCUAGAACAGUGAAGUGGGUAGUGGAAGAGGCAAUGAGAGAGAAGAGUGUAGGGAUUUGGAAUUACUGAGGGUAUGGGAAUAACAGCCACAAUGAUAAGUCUCAGGUCCUGGAUCAGGUGAUAGGAGCUAUUUGGCUUUUUGAUAGUAAGAUAGGGGUGUUAUAGGGAGAGUGGGUUUUGCACAAGAGACCCUGAUGUAGGAGUUUAGUGACGAUAGGCUUUAGCCCUUAUUGAUAUUUCUGGGAGAUGGAGUAUGGUUAUUGAUUGGGGAAUAUAGAGGGGUCUUUGAGAUGAAUAUGAAUUGGAGCAUGGUGAGAGGCUUUGAAUUUUUAGAAAAGUUCUCUCCCAAGAAUAGGAGUGGGGCAUUUUAGGAGUAUGAGAAAAGAAUGGGAAAAUGGGGUAUCUUAAAAUGUGCAAGGUAAAGGCUCAGUUUUCAUGGCAUAAACAUUAAACAGUCAACCCACAUAACAGAGACCUGAGAGGCCUUGGUUUUUCUGGAGUAGGCAGGCAUAGCAGAGUAAGUGGUCCACAUAUUGAUGAGAAAAGAGAUUGGCUUACCUGCCACUGUGAGAGUUACUCUGGGUUCAGUAGAGGUGAUGAGAGUUGGGGCCUGGAGCCCUGGGCACCUUCAGUCUUCAGCAGCAAGCCUGAGGGAGCUAGGCAGAGCUGGGUCAGAGGACCCAUGGUCAGGACCAGGAGUUGAACUUCCAAUGUCCCUUUAUGCCACAGCUGGUGCACUGACUUGGAGAGGGCCUCAGGUCUAGGCAAGAAUGGCCCAGUGGCCUUCUCUGCCACAUUUGAAGCAAGGAAGGUGGCUUCCUUUCUUUGUUGGUUGAUGGAAGUUUGGAGCCAUGUAGGGCAGAGGCUAAAAGGUGGUAUUUGGCCUGAUCUCAUUGGGCCUCCUCUAGUUUUGCCUGUUCUUCCUGGCUAUUGAAAAUCUUAAAAGCUAAAUUUAAAAGGUCUUAUUCGAGGGUUUAGGGGCUUCUUCUGAUUUUUAGUUUCUUUAGGAUGUCUGGGGACUAUUGGGAGAUAAAAUGGGUAUUAAGGACAGUGGUGCCCUCUAUGGAAGUGGGGUCUAAUCUUGUAUAUUUGUGUAGGACUUCUGUUAACCUGACUAGAAAUUGUGCUGGGUUUUCAUCUAGUCCUUGAGUUAUUAGCCAGAGCAUAUCUAAGUUGACUCUAUUAUCUGGCCAUUGAGGAGUAGUACCUUAAUAGCAACUCAAGCCAGUCAGACACUAAAGGUGUCCCUACAAGACAGAACAACGAUGUAGUCUUCACAAGAUCUAAAAUGUUUACUCCCAAAAAUAGUCUAAGAAAGUAAAGGGCCUUCAUUGUACAGGCAGUGCACUGAAGGAGAAGAUGGCAAAGGCCUUUCAGUUGGGGACCCUUAUGACAAAUUCCCUCAAAAUUGACACGCUCUUGAAAGGUUGUUGUUGAAUCACGCAAAGACACCAGGAUUCUUGGCCCCCGGAAGAGAAGAAUUCAAUCCAGGGCCAGAGACGAGGCUUGAUCGCUCAGAGCUUUUGUGUAAUAAAGUUUUAUUAAAGUAUAGAGGAGAUAGAGAAAGCUUCUGACACAGGCAUCAGAAGGGGGCAGAAAGAGUACUCCCUUGCUAGUGUUAGCAAUGAAGUUAUAUACUCUCCAGUGAAUCCAAAGAAUGUCUGGAGGUUAUAAAGACCUCACCAGACCUACUCCCAUAAUUUAAAUUUUAAGAUAACAGAAUUAGCCAGAAGGUUUAAUCCAGAGCCUGUCCUCAGGCAGGAUACAUUAUUGUUAUAUAAUCCUAAGGAAUGUAGAGAAGGAAAAAAAAGUUUGUCCUUUCUUCCUCCUUGAGAAUUCCAGACCUCUCUCUCCUUGGGGACCCCUAGACUUCUUAUCAACCUACCUAGGAAAUGACUCUCUCACUCUGAGAGUUGGCAUGACUGAGAGUUGCUCAGUCAUGUCUGACGUGACCCCAUGGACUAUAUCCCGCCAGGUUCCUCUGUCCAUGAAAUUCUCCAGACAAGAAUACUGGAGUGGAUAGCCAUUCUCUUCUCCAGGGGCUCUUCUGACCCAGGGAUUGAAGCCAGGUCUCCUGUACUGCAAGCAGAUUCUUUACCAAGAGUUGUCAUAACCAGACAAAAAGGUUGCUCAGAAUUCUAGUCUAUUUGACUGGCUGCCAAAUAUAGACCAUAUGUUACCUUGGUAUGCAGAGAACACACCCUGAAAACACAGAAGAAAAUCUGAGAAGAGGAGGUAGAACAUUUACAUCUCAAAGACACAAGGACAAAAGUGCAAGUUCCCCCAUAGAAGAGGUUUGUUUUUGUUGUUUUUUUUUUUUCCUUUAAAGUCAGAAUUCUGAAAAGAUGUUCCAACAAGCAAGGUCUUUUUUAUCUGUGCAUGCAAAAAUAUAAUUUUGGUAUGUCAAAAGAGCCUCAAUUUGGCCAUUUUUAGGGUGAAAUGUCUUUUAAUUCACAACAAAGCAAGUACUUAUAAGUAUAAAUGCUGUACAUACACAACAAAAUCUUUCCAGUGUGUCUCAACUGAGGAUAAACCUCUCAGUGUCUUUCAACUGAGCAAAAGUUUCUCAGUGUCUUUUACCUAUUGCCCUAGUGGUCCGGGAACAAGCGACGAUAAUGAAGACAGAACAUGAAUCUGGAGCAAUGGGUCAGGAGACCUGCAGCCUCUAUUGGAUUGAGAUGCAGAGUCCACUCUGAGUCCAGGUUUUGUUGCUAAAUGCAGACUACAAGACUUUUUUAAAAUCUGGACUGACAUAGUCCAGAUCUCCUUGUUUUCACCCCAGGCUGUUCCCAUCUGGGCUAGUCUCAGGAACAAUCAGCAACUGCGUAGGCAACGUUCAUGCCUGAUGCCAACCUGGUGUUCCAAAGUCCAUCCCAGUCAUACUCCCUUCCGGGUUUGGCCUUGGGGUUUGUAACAAGAAGAUUAUUCUUAAGAAAAACACAGUUUCUUAAUAUAUGCUGUUUUUCCAGGUACAAUUCUAUGAAAUUUCUCAGGGCUGUGAAAGCACAUUAUAAGAAUUCCCACUACAUUCACCCAGGCAUCUCUUCUUGACACUAAAUUUUAGACAGAGAUUUAACAGCACAGACUAAAACUCAGGCUCAUCAGUAAUAAUGGGAGAUCCAAGAUCCACCCAGAAUCAUCUGGACUCUGAGGAGGCAGAUGGACACAAGCGAACUUCUGCUAGUACAAACCUAGAGAUACUCAUGGAGUUCAGGUGAAGGAGAGAAGUAUGCUUUUGGUUCCUUUGUUGGUCACCAAACCAAAAUUGUUGACUGGAAAACAAAUGCACAAGCUAAAAGUUUCAAGUUAUGUUUUAUCUGGGACCUUACUCAGGACUACAAUCUGGGAGACAGGAUCCCAGAGAGUUCUGAGGAACUCUUCCAGAGAGGUAAGAAAGGAUUCAAGAUAUCUUGAAGUUUUUACCAGCGGAGGCGGGGUGGGGAGGGGGGCGAGUGGGGGGGCGGAGU